ensembl:lincRNA
GCCUGGCGCGCCUGGCGUCUUGCCCGAGGCCGGGUUUCCGUCCGCCUUGACUGCCUGCGGGACCGUGGAACCGCAGGCCCGCACACCAGUGCUCGCUCACCGGUUCGGUUCUGGUCACCGGUUGCUGUGCAAUAGUAUUCUCACUAAGCCAGGAACUGCCUUUCGUUCUGUUGACCUGUCUUGCAGGUCAGGAGUGUCACUUGACAAGUGGGGGUGCAUGCGGGCACGUGCUAGGGCUCCUUGCUGACGUUGGGGUCUGCAGUGACUUACUCCUCCAUUCUCAGUAAAUGCUGAGGGAAGUUGGGAGAGGAUUCAGGCCUAGCCAGACCCUUUGAGAAUCCUGGAAAAAGAGAGAAAUAACGAUAAAAGCCUAACUUUUUAGUGCUUUGCUGUCUUAGUGUUUUGCUAUGGCUGAAAUCGCCUCCUAGGAUCUGCAUUGCUUGGGCUGCCUAACCUAGAGAUUAGAAUGGAGAAUAUGCUCCAGUCACCCGAACACUGUUGGGGGGGAUUAUGGAGUAGCUGUUUAUGAUUCCUUUCCCAAGUAAUUCCAUGCAACCGCAUCUCUAAAGUGGACAGUUUUUUCUCCCAAAGUUUCAGGGGAGGUUGCUUCAGAACACCUGAAUGGCAUCCUGGCAUCAGGAGGGACCAGGCGUUGCCGGAGAGCUGCAGCCAGGUCUCCCAACACAGCUGUUGCCUUUCCUUCCUCUCCCAGUCGACUUGCUGGUUUCAUCUCUGCUUUCCAAUACCUGCCUCAGCUUUAUGAAGUAACUGCAACACUUUAAAUUUAGGAACUGUCUCCUAGCCAGAAUAUUUUUUAAUUUUGGAGCAUGGAUGGAUUGGUUUUGUUUUUUGAGUAGGCUAUAUAUGUAAAUGUUUCUAAAAAAGAAAAUGAAGUCUAUACUUGUGCAUAUGUGAUCUCAGAAGAGGCUGAAGCAAGAGGAUUGCUGUGAGCAGCCUGGACUAUAUAAUACAAAAACUCGAGCCACUUCUAAGAGCCUGAUACCUGUUAAAUCCAAAGACAUCGACAUUUCCAAAAAUCAUCAUUCAGACAAUGAUACAACGAAAAUCACCAAACCAAAACGAGAGAAUAGCUGCAGGCCAUCAAGGGAACAAAAAUCAGAGGAAGAGCUGAAAGAUAAGAACGAGCUCUUAGAGACUGUCAACAAGCAGUUGCACCAGAAGUUGGUUAAAACUCAGGGAGAGCUGAAGGACCUAACCCAGAAGGUGGAGCUGCUGGAGAAGUUUCAGGACAACUGUUUAGCAGUUUUAGAGCGCAAAGGUCUUAACCCAGGCAGCAACACCCUGGCAUCACAGCAGGAAGCCACUAUGGACCACAUGGACUCUGUGCUGCUGUUAGAAACUUUACAAGAUGAGCUGAAGCUAUUUAAUGAAACAGCCAAGAAGCAGAUGGAGGAGUUACAGGCCUUAAAAGUAAAGUUGAAGAUGAAAGAAGAAGAACGGGCCCAAUUCCUAGAGCAGCGAACUUUAUAUAAGCGACAAGUUACUGACUUUACAAAAGCGCUGGAGGAAAUGGAGCAGCUAUUGGAGAUGUAAUCAAAGGACAGCGGCCUGAUGGCUCCUUCUCAGGGAUGAACUCUGAGGAAGCCACUUAGGACAUCUUGGCCAUAGACUCCUAUGACUCACUGUCUUCAGGGUGAAAACAGUUUGAGGAAUCAGAUUAGGGCAGUUUAUUGCUGCAAUAGCAGCUUCUCCAUUAAGCAAGUUCUCUUGUCUUUAGACUGGUCAACUCUCCGGAGCCUCACAGUAGAUAACAGAGGCUACAAGAGAGGGACCGGGAAGCUUGAUCCACCUCCAAGGCCUCUCCGACACACGUUAGAUCAGGAGAUGAGAGCCAAGCGUAGGGGCACACAUCUGAUCCAAGCAUGGGGGAGGCUGAGGCAGGCAGAGGAUCCCUUGAGCUAAGGAGUUCAAGGUAAGCUUUGCGACACAGCAAGAUGGCGACUGAGCAUACAGAUCAGGAAACUACACCAGCCAGGACCUAGGCGGUCACAGACAGAUUUGCAGAAGGAAACCCUUGAUUACAAUUGGAGUGCGUUAAUUCCACGGGAGACAACACUUGAGAAGCCACACUGUCCUCUUCUUUCUUGUGAUGCGUUGUGUCCCAUCGUGGUUGGGCUCUGCACUUCAUUGAAAGUUAUGAACUUGAAGUUGCAUGAAGGUUUUUUGCUUAAUAAAUGGGAUGAAGGUAUCAAUAACAGUGCCUGAAAAAAAUACAUUGGGAGCUUUUACUCUAAAUGGCAUUUGCUUUUUUUAUUUAAAGUAUUUUAAACUGCCUGUGGUGGUGUACGCCUGUAGUCCCAGCACUCGGGAGAAGUUGCCAUGGUUUCAAGACCACCCUGAACUACGUGGUGAGACCCUGGCUCGAAAAAUAAAAAUAAGAAAGCCAGGGAUUUGGCUCAGUGAUUCCAUUGCCUGCCUCGCAAGUGCAAGGACCUGAGUUCAAUCCCUGGUACCAAAAAAUAAAUAAAUAAAAUAGGAGGGCCGGGGAUUUAGCUCAGUGGUGCUGCCACCUGCCUUGCAAGCACAAGGUCCUGAGUUUGAUCCCCAGUACCAAAAAAUAAAAUAGGCCUGGGGAUUUAGCUCAGUGGCACCACACCUUCCUCGAAAGCACAAGAUCCUGAGUUCGAUUCCCCAGUACCAAAAAAAUAAUAGCCAAGCAUGGUGGCAUACACCUGUAAUCUCAGCACUCAGGAGGCUAAGGUAGGAUUGAUGUGAGUUUGAGGCCAGCCUGGGCUACACAGUGAGACUCUCAACAAAACAAAAAAUUGUAUUUUUUCGAAAUAAAUAUCUCCAUAAAACUUUAACUGUAACAUUGAGGAAUGAAAAUAGCUUUUUAACUUGUGUGUCAACCGGACAUUAUGAUAAUAUGUUCAAUAUUCUGAUUUACCCAGAAUGUUUUCCUCUGUUCAUUGAGUCCACCCUCCACUCGCCCCCUACUUUCCAGUGUCACUGGGUGUCCCCAUUUGUAGCAGCAGAUGCCAGGCUCCCACAGGUUUUCCCAGUCACUGUGUGUAUUUGCUGUAGAUGCCUGCAGUUUGCUGACAGCCAGUCCUUGGUCUGGUCCAUACAUCACAUAGUCUGUGGCCUGAAGUCUAUAGCAGCUUCCCUUCAGGUUUGCCAAACUCAAAGCCAAAUUUUCUUAGUCUUGUUUGGCUAGUUGUCUUUUUUUUUUUUUUUUGGUUUUUUUGAGUCAAGGUCUUGCUAUGUAGUUCAGGCUGGCCUCAAAUUCAUGGUGAUCCUGCCACAGCCUCCCAAGAGCUGGGAUUACAGAAUUGUGCC